ACGUAGGUGGCAAGCGUUGUCCGGAAUUAUUGGGCGUAAAGCGCGCGCAGGCGGCCUAUCCAGUCUGUCUUAAAAGUUCGGGGCUCAACCCCGUGAUGGGAUGGAAACUAGUAGGCUAGAGUAUCGGAGAGGAAAGCGGAAUUCCUAGUGUAGCGGUGAAAUGCGUAGAUAUUAGGAAGAACACCAGUGGCGAAGGCGGCUUUCUGGACGAAAACUGACGCUGAGGCGCGAAAGCCAGGGGAGCGAACGG
rnacentral:rRNA from 1 species